AGGGAUGUAAAUGGAUCCGGAUUGAUGAAGCUCUCGUCCCGAUCCAUUCUAAAUAGGGCGAUAAGUGGGAAUAAAAAAUAUAAAAAAAUAUGAUUCGUCCCAAAUUCAUUCCGAUCCGUCAAAUAAAUAGAACGGGAGGUAGAAGACCUUUUUCUUUCUUCAAUCAGUCCUGAUCUGUCAAAAAUUUGCUCCCGUUCCGAUCCACUUUGAAUGGGACAGUAAGUAAGAGCCAAAAAUAAAAUAAAAACUAAUCCACUCCGCCCCGACAAAAAAUAGAGUAGGAGGUGGGAAAACCCUCCCGCCUCCAAAUCCGUCCUGUUUGUAUUCCUUCUGGUCGAGUCUUAUGUUGGUCAUUCUGGAAAG
rnacentral:lncRNA from 1 species